rnacentral:rRNA from 1 species
AUUGAACGCUGGCGGCAUGCUUUACACAUGCAAGUCGAACGGCAGCACGGGCUUCGGCCUGGUGGCGAGUGGCGAACGGGUGAGUAAUGCAUCGGAACGUACCGUGUAAUGGGGGAUAACGUAGCGAAAGUUACGCUAAUACCGCAUACGCCCUGAGGGGGAAAGUGGGGGACCGCAAGGCCUCACGUUAUACGAGCGGCCGAUGUCGGAUUAGCUAGUUGGUGGGGUAAAGGCCUACCAAGGCGACGAUCCGUAGCGGGUCUGAGAGGAUGAUCCGCCACACUGGGACUGAGACACGGCCCAGACUCCUACAGGAGGCAGCAGUAGGGAAUAUUGGACAAUGGGGGGAACCCUGAUCCAGCCAUGCCGCGUGAGGGAAGAAGGUCCUCUGGAUUGUAAACCUCUUUUGGCAGGAAACAAACCUGCGCUAUACGCGCAGCUGAGGGUACCUGCAGAAUAAGCACGGCUAACUCCGUGCCAGCAGCCGCGGUAAUGU